CUUCGGGUAUAUGAUUAAAUCGGAAUUGCCACUGUGUCCGGGUUUUGCUACUCUCAGAAUCUUCAUAGCUGCCGCGCUUUGUGAGAAACCAGGGUCAAUCCAGCGCCCCAUCUCCUCAGGUAACUCUUCGAGAAGAUGCUGGUUCGCGCAAGACUCUGUUUUUACGAGAGGGUUUUGAAUGUUACAAGAGCCAAUGCUGUUGUGUAUAGAAGUUUUGGUGCCAUGACAAGUCCCGUUUUUAAAGAUAAUGAGGGUAGUAAAGUUAGAGGCGGUGGGGGAGUUUCAAAUGAUGAUUACUUUGCGACUGUACAUCAUAUAUCAAAUGUGGUUCGUCGUGACAUUUACAUGGAGAGAACGCUCAAUAAAAUGUGUAUAUCUCGUAUAGUCAAUUCUGAGUUGGUGUAUCGUGUGCUCCGUAAUUGUUGUCAUUGUGGAUCUGAGUCGUUUCGGUUUUUUAAUUGGGCGCGGACCCAACAUCCUCAGUAUGACCCAACCACACUUGAGUUUGAAGAACUUCUGAAGACUCUUGCUCGGACUAAGUGUUGGGAAACUAUGUGGAAGGUUGCGCACCAAAUGAAGACCCAAGAAAUACCGUUAUCACCAUCAGUUGUAUCAUACAUCAUAGACCAAUAUGGUAAACAUGGUCUCAUAGACCAGGCUGUUGAGCUCUUCAAUCGACUGAAGAACUUCAACUGCCCCCAAACUACUGAAAUAUACAACUCAUUGCUAUAUGCCCUCUGUGAGGUCAAGAACUUCCAAGGUGCUUAUGCAUUGAUUCGGAGAAUGGUCCGAAAAGGUGGAGUCCCAGACAAAAAGACAUACUCUGUUCUAGUGAAUGGAUGGUGCUCUGCAGGGAAGUUGAAAGAAGCUCAAGAAUUUCUUGAAGAGAUGAGCCAGAAGGGGUUCAACCCACCUGUCCGUGGCCGGGAUCUAUUGAUUGAUGGGUUGUUAAAUGCAGGCUAUAUCGAAUCAGCAAAAGGGUUGGUGAGGAAAAUGACCAAAGAAGGUUUUGUGCCAGAUGUUGCAACGUUUAACUCUCUAGCAGAAGCUGUAUGCAAAUCUGGGGAGUUAGGUUUUUGCAUUGAUAUUUACCAUGCAGUUUGUAGAUUGGGGUUUUCUCCGGAUAUUGAUACCUAUAAGAUUAUGAUCAUGGCAGCUUCAAAAGCAGAUAAGAUUGAUGACGCUAUUGCAGUUCUUCAUAAAUCUAUCGAGGACGGACACAAGCCGUUUCCUAGUUUGUACGCUCCUAUAUUGAAGGGUCUGUGUAGGAGAGGACAGUUUGACGAUGCUUAUAGCUUUUUCAGUGAUAUGAAGGUAAAGGGGCAUCCACCAAAUCGACCAGUUUAUACCAUGCUAAUAAGAAUGUCUGUACGUGGCAGUAGAUUUGUUGAGGCUGGUAAUUAUUUGGUAGAGAUGACUGAGCUAAACUUAUCACCCUUGUCUAGAAACUUCGACAUGGUUACUGAUGGAUUAAAGACUUGUGGAAAGCAUGAUCUUGCCAAGAAAAUAGAGCAGUUGGAAAUAUCUCUCCGUGGAAUCUAAAUUAAAGUUUGUACAUUUAAUUCUGGAUACAGAAAUAGAAUUGAUAUACAUCCUCUUCUUCUCUAUUCUAUUAGAUUUCCAACUUCUACAUUUUUUAAAGGGUUUGGCGGACAUCUUACAACUUAGUGGCUUGGUGAAUGGUGAUCAAUUAAGACUACCGUAAUAGAUAGUGAGUACGGGGGCUGCUGUAGUUAGCCCUUGAGUACCUUUUCAAGCGAUUCUUUGGUUAGGAGGCUGUGCUUGUUUGGUUACCAAUAGGAAGUUAAAUCCUAUGUAAUUUGAAAUUACUAUGGAAAUUAUAAUAAAUGGGAAGUUAAAAUUUGUGUUUGGUUGAUAGAUAGGUUUUAACUUCCUACAGGAAGUGCAAGUUACCAAGGGGGGUCUAGGUCAAUGACUUCCUAUGUUUUGUAGGCAUUUAAAAUUCCAAGGAACUUACACUUCCCCAAUUAAUGUCAACCAAACAGUUUCAUCAAAUACUACUUCCUAGGAACUUCUACUCCCCACAUAUCUAGAUGUCAACC